AAGCCCCUCAACGCCCUGCAUGGAAGGUAGCAGCACACUUUAGAAAUGGGAAAACUGAGGUGCUGCAAGAUUAGGUAACUUGCCCAAGAGACCCCAGCCAGGAAAGUGGGGACAAUAUUGACACUGAGGUGGUCUGGGUGGAGCAUCUGUGUUCUCACAUCCUUGCUACACUGCCUCUGUCAUCUUGAAUCAUGCGAGGGGCCACUUAUAGACCCUUCUGCCCUGCAGGGCUGUGAGUGUCGUGGGGCACUAUAAAGGGCAUGAUUCUGGCCAUCAGGUGAACCUGGACUCACUCUGACUCACCCUGACAGCCUGGAUAACCUGGAACAAGUCCUCACUUCUCACGCCCUUCUCCUGUUUCCUCAUCUGCUAAAUAGGAUCAUAGCAUCUACUUCCCAGGGCUUCUGUGAAGCAUCCACCAUAUAACAUAGAUGAGAGGGUGCGUGGGACAUGGGUCAAUACACGACUUCCCUCCCUCAUGUGCCUGAUUCUAAACAGAGCAGCCCAAAUCUGCCAUGACAAGGGUGACAGAGAGGUAGCUUUGGUGACUUGACCUGGAGCAACCAUGUGUGGAUAACAUGUUGCUUAGGGCCUCUUCUAACCUCAGGGGGUGAAAGUGGGAAUGUACCCUGGGGUUCCUCCAUCCCUCCUGGACCCUGGGACACCUGCCACCCAGGGCAGAGACCCCUGUGUGCCAGGGACCCUGCCCUGAUGUCAUGCAGUUCAUUGAGAACAGCUGCUGCAGGCACAUCAGCAGACAUUUACUCCCUGACACUCAACUCUCUACCCUCCCUUUCCUCCCAUCCCUGUCCUGUCCCUGGCCUCAGGUCUAUGGCUCCAUCCCAGUCACCCUGGGCAGGAAGAGCUGGGCAGUGUGAGUGACAGCAGGAUCGUCACCAAGGCACUUGCUUACAUCCAGGCGCCACGCUGACCUGCUGAAUGACCUUGGGCUCAGCCCUGCCCAUCUCUGGCCUUGAGUCUGCAGCUGGGCUGGAUAAUCCCUGGGGUCUGCUCAGUGGAUGGGCAACUCACGUGCCCUUUCACAGUGGCCUUCAUGAGUCAACAGCCCAGGAAGUGAUGUCAGGUUAGGGAGGUGUGAAGGGGGCAGGGAAUAUUGGAGGGUAAUAGGAGAUAUUUUGAGGGCAGGCAGAUCCCCUCACGUCACUGCUGGACAAUGGUCUGGGGCCAGGAGUGGAAAAUUAUGGUCUUACUUGGGCUGAAAAUAGCAUGAGGCAUCAGGGCAGGAACUUCACCCACAAGGCAAGUGGCCUGGGCACUGAGCAGCAAGGUGAUGGUGAACGAGCCCCUCCUGUGUCCUUGUGGAGUGGCUCGGGCCUGUGGGAAAGGCUCAAGGGUGGUUUGUAACAGGCAAUCAUUAAGAAAGCUCAAGAGGGGCCGGGUGCGGUGGCUCAUACCUGUAAUCCCAGCACUUUGGGAGGCUGAGGCAGGUGGAUCACUUGAGGUCAGGAGUUUGAGACCAGCCUGGCCAACAUGGCGAAACCCUGUCUCUAUUAAAAAUACAAAAAUUAGCCAGGUGUGGUGGCGCAUACCUGUAAUCCCAGCUACUUGGGAAACUGAGGCAGGAGAAUUGCUUGAACCCGGGAGGCAGAGAGUUGCAGUGAGCCAAGACCGCAGCACUGCACUUCCAGCCUGGGUGACAGAACAAGACUUCGUCUCAAAAAGAAAAAAAAAACUCAGAAGGACAUCGGCUACAUUAACAGAAGUAUAGAACCUAGAAGGUGAGAGGUGAAUAGCUCACACUAUUCUGGGCAGGUCACCCACCUGGCACAGUACAGAGUAAUCAUUUGGGUCAUGGUCUGUGAUGGGUCUCUGUCACAUGAGGGCGCUGUGGAGUCAGGCUCCAAAUACAGCAAGCUUUGGGGAUGUCCUGCCUUUCACAAGGCAGAGUGGGAAGGGUGGAGAGGUCAGAGGGGGCAGGCAGAGUGGGCCACAGGGCGAGGGGCUAGGGCGGGGCCCUGUCCAGCUGAGCGCCACACGUCAGCCCAGAGUGGUCCUGGCUAGACUCAGAACCUAUCAUAGGUGAGACCCAUCUCCCCCAUACUAAGUCCUGACCCAGCCUGAGCACCACCCUGCCAUUCUGGGAUUUUCCCAGAAGGCAGACGAUGGACAGGAGGAGGAGUGAAUCUCUUUCAUAUUUACCCCCAGUGCAAAGGAAGCCUCAGGGUCAGGGCAAGGAGGGAGCCCUAACUUGGCCUCCUUGUGACCCAGCCCCAACCCUGCCUUGAGCCUGGAGUCAGCUGUCCAGCCUGCUUAUGGCUCAUGCACACCCUGCCCUCUUGCCCCAUGUCUUUGCCUGGGAUGCAUCCUGUGUGUGGAUGUUCUUCCGGUGAGCUGCUUUUCUCAGAAGCUACAGCUCAGGAGUCUCCCACUCCAGGAACCCUUCCCUGACCCCCUGGCUCACAGCCCCAGCCACUCGGCAUUAUCCAGUGGUGUGCUAGAGUGACUUGUACCUGCUUGCAAGAACCAAUUGUUAAAUUUUCAGGAAUUUUACAAGGAAGUUGACAUCAUGUUUAUAGUUUGAAUUUGG
rnacentral:lncRNA from 10 species